UCUAUACUAGGUUGCUAUAUUAUACCGAUAAACGCUAACAAUUUGGCUACGUUGAAUCUUGGAAAAUAUUAUACGGGACAAUCGGAGUUGAGUCGUUUCGUGUUAUCGCCGGGAACAGCGGCCGCAUGAGAAGUAGAAAGAUCAGAGUUAAAUCAGACUGUGUAAAGUCGGUCGGUUUGAUCACUCGACACGAGAACACCGCGCCAUUAAAUUGGAAUCGCGAACAGAUACCUACAUAUAUCCGGCAUGUGACACAAAAUUUUGAUGAUAAGAAAGACGAUGCGGAGCGGAGGAAACGACGUAGAAGGCGAAACGACGAAUAGCGGGAAAUCGAAAGGGGGACAACUCGGCCAUAAAUCCCACGCUGUAGAGGCAAAUCACUGGCGUGGCAAUAAAACGCACGUGUAUAGUUCCCUUUAUACUAAUCCCAGUAACAGAAUGUUCACAGACUAUAGUGAGCCACUGUGUAUUUACGUAACAUUCUUUUUUUUAUUUAUGUCCAUAAAAUAUAGCAAAAAGUUUGGCUGGAAAAGCGUGAAACACGUACAGCGGUAUAUUUCAAUGAUUAUCAUGGUGUACAAUGGAACCCAAUCAUUAUAUGCACACUUUGGACUGCAAAAUUUCAAAACCACAAGGCGUAGAUUAAAAGAUGAAACCGGUGCUUAGAGUCUACAGAGUUGGAAGAUAGUGGGAUAUUGAAGCAACGAGGAAAGCCAUUACCAAUUCUCUAGAACAUUCAGGUAUUCAACAUGUUCUCGCUGUGGGAUUGCCUGAUCAGGCUGUGAGAAGAGUUUUAUACGAAAAUCCUAAUUUCCCUCCUCCGUGGAGAAACUCAGCGAACGUGACGUGCUUCCAAGAUUCUGUAAGAUGUAUCGAUAGUAACCAAUAAAUCAGAUAGUUUUUAGAACGACGUGUCGAGGCAGUAAAUCGACGAAGAAACGAAAUCUUGAACAUUGUUCUUAUUAAUCGUGUAAAAAUAUUCGAACAUUGUUGUGUGUUGUUUUCUUCAGUGCCAAAUUCGAGAGGUCGUUGUGCCGGAUCUUAUGUGGCUCGAACGAAUACACACGAUCCUUUACAUCAUUUUCUUAAUCGUAAUUUAGUUAAUCGAAGAAAUAGAAAAUUCAGGAUGUAAAAAUUGUUGAAGUAAUUUCUUCAAGAAACACUACACCUUUUUCUUUUGUAUAUCCGUGACCUGAAGACUGCUGUUACGAAGAGAAUACAAUUCAGUGAAAAAAAUCCAAAAUAAGGAGAAGUUCCAAU